UUCCUGCCUGAAGUGUGGUAAAUUACUCAUUUUUAAAGUCAUCUCUAGCCACUGAGAGUUUAUGGUGAUGUAUAUAGAUGUUUUGUAGAUUCCAAAAAAAAUCAAUGACUAUGAAUAUCACAGACUGUCAAAACAGCUGGUGUGAUUAUAAAAUAAUGAGAUCAACUAAAGACAUCAGCUCUCAGACAUCCAAAUUGUAAGAGGAAAAUGAAGACGAGGAAGGGGAAAGUGAAUUGCUUAAUGUCUUGUAGGUACCAAAUAAUAGAGUCAGUAUCUGCCACUGCCAUGCUGAAGAUUUUGCACUGUUACUUACACAGAUUCAUUCCCCUUUUUGCAGGCUUUGUUGGGCCAGGAGAUGGUUUUGCAGCAGCAGAAGACUAUGAACUGGGCUUUGGGAGAUAGGAUCUCUGGUUGUAUUCUGGCUAUCCACACUCUGAAAGAGGACCGUGACAGAGAAUUUGAGUAUCCUACCAAUAUACCUACAAAAGGAUGAAAGAAGAUUUGGAGUCAAGGGAAAACAAGGGCAAUAAAAUAGAAGCUUACCACCUGCUCUCAUACAGUUGCUAGAAGAGGACUGCAUAUUUGGUUCUAAGUUUCUGGAAGAUAAAGCCAAAAUAGAAACACAACUCAUUAUAAAAUUUUGGUGUAUCCAUAAAAUAAAAACAAAUGACCUGUUUGAGAAAACUCUUUCUGAGUUUGAGCUCUAAAAGGAACUUCUCUAUGGAAUCCUUAGAAUAUGAGAAGGCUGUGAUAUAGGGGAGAAACCCCUUGACAUUCCUAUAUUGGGUUUAGGUCUAAUUUCAC
rnacentral:lncRNA from 10 species